GUCGCGGCGGCUACGCCCACCUGGACCCAGUUUACCCUGUACUGUGCUGCAAAAUAUUACUUUCUCCCCAUCUGGAAUUCUUCCCUUCCUCCUUCCUGCCGCAGUGGUGUACUGAGCACUUUCACGUAAGAGUAUUCCUCCACUCGAACAACCCCCCGGAGAAGUACUGGUGUCACUGCCACCUGCGAGAGUUUGCGGCUACCUCCCCAAGAGGCAGUCCCAGGGUUAUUGUGACCUAUGAUGUUUAUUCAACUACUGUUGACGGGCUGCUGUGCACAGGGAACCUAGUAGGCAAGACCCCUGCCAUCGUGCAGCUUACUGUCAGGUUGACACAGACCUUAAGAAAGAACAAAAUUUUAAAUAAAUUAAAAACGACACCUGUAAUUUGAGAAGAUGCUUGAUAUCAGAAGAGGAGAAGAGUGGAGAGGGGUGGAGUGGCAAAGGAGAGCCUCCAAACCAAAAGCCUGCGGCAGAGGCCCUAGGAGGCAAGCACUUAACCAUGUUUCAGGACUAGAAACGAAACAUGUGACAAGACCUUUAAAAACAAAUAGAAUGGGAUGGAAUAAAGUUGGAUGAGUAAGCAGGCAUCAAAUCAUUCAGAAACUUGUUGUCCAAGUUGAAGAAUUUGUUUAGUAUUGUAUAAUAAAUGCAGAGGAAGCUAUAUACACUUAUAAUUUACAUUUUUUAAAGGCCACGUUGUAGCUCAAUCGGAUAGUUUGUCUUUUGAUGGGAUGUAGUAUACAGUAUCAUCAUGGUAUAUUCCAGGCAAAAAUAUUUAACUUGAAUCUGUCAAGCCUUUGCAUCUAACACAGUUUAUAAAAAAUACAACAGAUAGAUGAACAAACUAAAUGAUGCCAGAGGAAGUAACUAGACAGAUCCAGAAGGUGAAACAUUCUGCAGGAUAACUGGCCCAUCUCUUCAACAAUUUGUCAUGAUAAAAGCAACUGCUUUAUGAAAAGAAAUUUAAGGGACAUAACAGUUUGAAUUGGAUCCUGGUUUGAACAGACUGUCUAUAAAAUGCAUUUUCAGGACCAUUAAAGAAAUAUGAAUGUAGAUGGACUGAGUAUUGGAUAAAAUAGAACUGUAUUGCCAUGGAAAAGAUCAUUAACUGAAAAGAGCAAGUCACGAAAUAGUAUGUUACAGCAUCUCAUUUUGGUUUAAAAAUGCACAUAUAUGUAUUUAUGUACAACUAAAAAAAUAGUGGGCUUAUACCCUAAGGUGUUAGUAUUGGUAAUCUUUGGAAGUGGAAAUGUGUAUUUUUUUCUUUGUGUUUGCCUAUCUUUUUCAUUGUAACUUUUGCAGCACAUAGACUACUUUCAUUAUAGUAAAAGUUUAUUUUACCACAAUUUUUUUUUUUUUAGAAAGAGUCUCACUCUGUCACCCAGGCUGGAGUGCAGUGGCACAAUCUCAGCCCACUGCAACCUCCACCUCCCAGGUUCAAGCUAUUCUCCUGCCUCAGCCUUCUGAGUAGCUGGGACUACAGGUGCACACCACAUGCCUGGCUAAUUUUUGUAUUUUUAAUAGAGACUGGAUUUCGCGAUGUUGGCCCGGCUGGUCUCGAACUCCUGGCCUCAAGUGAUCCACCCGCUUUAGCCUCCCAAAGUGCUGGGAUUACAGGCGUGAGCCACUGCACCCGGCCUAUUUUACCACAAUUUAUAAAAAUUUUUGUUUAUUUUAAUUAAGCUAUUCUAUGUUAAAAUAAGUAGCCACCCUUGGCUGAUGCAUAAAGAAAAAAUUAGAGGAAGGAAAGAAUGGAGGCAAGGAGGCAAAUCAUGAGACCAUUUCAGAAAUCAAGACGAAAUCAGGAAAGCUAACAUUAGCAAGAGUGAACCAAACUGAUAAUAUCUUUGAGUUUAAAACUGAAGAAUUUACCAAUGAACUGCAUAGGAAAGUAAAGAAAAGAGAGUGGUCAAGAUAGGUCCUGGUUUUGGGGCCUGAACAUCUGAGUGGUUAGUAGAAUCAUUACCAGUUGAUAACCCAUGGAAGAGGGUGGGGGAUGGGUGGUGUCUUGUAGGUUGGUUGACAGGACUGACCCAUUGGGAAGAUAACGAAGAAGCAAAGUAUAUGAAAAGAGGAGAAAGGGUAACCAGAGGAGGGAGGAUACAAAGGGAGUGAUUAGCCAUCAGAAAGAUGAGGGACAUGACAUUUGUUGAGGCAGAUGGCGGAGAAAAGAAAGUUAACAUAGAUGUGGUUAGUUUUGUGGCAUUGACCAAAGGAAGAUUAAGGUGAUACUAUCUGAUGGCUUGGAAUGAAAACCAAACUCCCUGCCACAACAUGAUGAUCUUUCUCUGCAACUUCAUAUUUUGCCUCUUGUUCCUCAUUUGUUACCACUGAGUCACAAUGGUCUUUUUAGUUUCUCAAACACACCAAGAUCUUUCUUGCCUCAUGUGACCUAGAAUGUUUUCUCCCUUUCUUCAUAUCUCAGUUGAAAGGUCUCCUCUCCUCAUCAUCAUACUAUCUAAAGUAGAUUCCCUCCCUUGUUAACCUCUAGCGCAGCCAUUAGUUCCUUCAUAACACUUACCCUAACUUGCAAGUAUUUUGUUUGUUGAUAUAAUUUUUAUCUGACUUCCCCACUAAAAUGUAAGCUCCAUGAGGGCAAAAAUUGUGUGUUUUGUAUACUGAUGCAUCUCUAGCACUUGGUAUAGCAGGCAUUCAAUAAAUAUCAUUAAAUAAGUUUCACCCUUGUAAAAAAAAAAAAUAUAUAUAUAUAAAAUAUAUUCUCUACUUCCAAAAUAACACACUUUCACCAACAACAAGCACUCCAGCUAAUUAGGCAAUAGGCCAAUAAGCAAAGAAUUAUGGUAUAUUAGUCAAGAUUGGCUAGCUUAUGUUCUGACAAUAAACAAUUUCAAAAUCUCAGUUUCAAUUUUAAACUCAAAGAUACUAAUAAACAUUUGUUCUUUGCUCACACAAAGUCUAAUAUGGAACAGGCUUAGAGUUGUCCUCCAACCAGUGUCUGAGCAAUCCAGACCACUUUGAUCUUGUAACUCUGCCAUCCCAACAUGAGAUUCCACUUUCACUGCAGAAGAGGAAAUCUGUAGCAUCAUGCAGCAGCUUGUCACUACCUCAGCCCUCCUACUUCCACUUGCAUUUCACUAGCUAGAACCUUUCACAUGGCUCCACCAAACUGCAAUGGGACUGGGAAGGGAGAAUCAGAUAUUAGGGAGCAUUUAUAAUGCCUUCCAAGGGUGUGUUUCACUGCUUCCAAACUUGCUUAUGAUGAUGUUUUUCAUUUAUGUAAUGAAAUGCCAUAUGUUCUUAGUGUGUAUUCUCAGCAUAACGAGUACAUUUGGAGAAUAUUAAGUCAGUGGACUUUCCUUCUUGAAAAUUCCUGGUUCUGGGCCUAUCAUUAACCCCACUGAUUGAACCAGUGGAAAUAGUUGCCUCUUCGAAUGGAGAGAACCCUGCUGAAGGCAGCUUUGAGUUUCAAAAUAGUGUGUUUCAAGUCCACAUGGAGACGAUAGCCUGAAAGUAAGCACUUAUGAUUUUUGGAGGAGUCUUUGUUAUUAAGGAGAAAAGAGGCUUACAGAAGUCAGAUUCAGAAGACUGUAGUAUUUUUACAAUAAAUGAGAGUAAACAGUAUAAGGAUUUGAUGUAAGGGAAGUUCCUGCAGUGCAAGAAAGAAAGUCCUUUUGGUGCUGAGCGGAACAGUCUAAGAGAGAAAAGGUGAAGAACAAAAGGAAAAUGUAAAUGUGGUAUUCACACUUCCCUACUCCACACUCAGGAUAAACCUAGAGUAUGAGGUAGAGGCGGGAAUCUAGAGGGGAGGAAGCAUAGAAUAGGAACACCCAAAUAGACUUGAUGAAACAAAAAACAUCAAGGAUGGCUCCCGUGUCACCUGGGAAGACACACUUCAUGUAAGGAAUGGAAAAAAGGCAAUGGUAAGGGACAGGGGCCCUGGAUUUUUUACAACAUGCGAUAGAGAACUAUUUGUCUCCUUAAUUUAUUUAACUUUAAAAAAUAAUAAUGAAUGAAAGAAAAAUUACCCAUUUUUCAAAUAUGGGUGUGUAAGUUUUUUCCACUUUGUACAAAAAAUUUUAAAGAAACGAAAACUGCUGAACACCUUAUAUUCAGAAUUACUCCCUGUAUAAGCCCAUUCCAAUUCCAUAUACUGCUGAUUAAAUUUCCAUCAGUUGGCAGUUCUCUAAUAUCAGUUUCACUGCUAUUUAACUAACUACUGCCCUUUGCUACCAGUGUCUCUCUUGGAUGAGAGUCACUUUACUUGAAUAAGAUAACUUCUGAGAAUAAAUCUAUGCACUAUUUUGGAAGAAUUGCUCUAUAGAGUAAAAAAUAAUUCUGGAUAAUUGAAAGUUAUCUUGUGAGUAUCUGGACAUUAAGGAUACAUUUCAAGACUCCUGUUUUCACUAAAAUCCAAUAUUUGUUUAAGCACUUCAAGUUAAAGAGGAGCACCUUCCCCUUUCACCCUGACUAUCGUUGUUAAUUCGUUUUUGAAGCUAUAUAAGAACGUUUCUUUAAUCGGUUUUCCCUUAGGCAUACAUUAGCUCUCUGUUCAAGACUUAGUAGCAGAGAGUAGUAAGUAAAUGGUUAUUAGUGGUUCUUCAUAUAAAACACAUUUGAGUUUCUUAGAAGAAAACUAUGCAUAAAGAUUACUUUCAGAUAUCAUGUCUGUAGUUCGUUAAUAGAGAAGUUUCUCUGAACGUGUGGAACACUGUAAUAAGAUAAAUAAAUUUUUAAAAAGAAAAAGUAAGCAUAUAUACAAAA